ensembl:snoRNA
UGGACCAAAGAUGAAGUGUGUGGUGAUGUAUGAAUUACGGACGAUAAACACCUGUGUCUGGAACUGUGCGGUCUAA